rnacentral:rRNA from 1 species
CCUACGGGUGGCUGCAGUGGGGGAUAUUGCACAAUGGGGGGAACCCUGAUGCAGCGACGCCGCGUGGGUGAAGAAGCGCCUAGGCGCGUAAAGCCCUGUCAGCAGGGAAGAAAAUGACGGUACCUGAAGAAGAAGCCCGGGCUAACUACGGGCCAGCAGCCGCGGUAAUACGUAGGGGUCAAGCGUUAUCCGGAUUUACUGGGGGUAAAGGGGGCGCAGACGGCGUUGCAAGCCAGGAGUGAAAGCCCGGGGCCCAACCCCGGGACUGCUCUUGGAACUGGGUGUCUGGAGUGCAGGAGGGGCAGGCGGAAUUCCUGGUGUAGCGGUGAAAUGCGUAGAUAUCAGGAGGAACACCGGUGGCGAAGGCAGCCUGCUGGACUGCAACUGACGUUGAGGCCCGAAAGCGUGGGUAGCAAACAGGAUUAGAUACCCUGGUAGUC